UUUCUCUUUGCUUCUGGCUGUACAGGCUACUGCCUCGCCGGCUGGCUAGGUCACUCUCUCCUGCCUCCAUAUUACAUGCCCUAUUUGAGGUCUUCUACUGACUUCUUUAGAAGAUGAACAGUUAUAUAAAAGGUGCAGUUUUAAAGGCAUUCAAAGAUCACUGAAAGCAGUUGAGGCAUCGUACCAGAAAGAGAGACCAGAAGACCCUACUGGUGAAAGUACAGUCCAAUUAAAGCAGAAGACUCCAAGACUUUGGAGAUUCCAGUGCCAUGGGACAAUCUCCAGGAAGAGCAACUAUGGAAUAGAGCCUAUGAGACAAGCUAUGUCCUUAGUGGCAAACAUUUUGGGGGUACACAGAAGACCAUGAAUGAUUUCUGGUUUUUGAAUACUGAGCUCAUUACAGUUUGAAUUUUGUUUUGCUUUGAGUCACUGUGCCCUGAUUGUUCCCUUUUGAAAUAAGAAAUUAUUUUUUUGUUAUUUUACUGUAGGCUACAGUUCGGAGAUUUGAACUUUUAUAAGAGAUUUUGAAGCUUUGUAAAGACUUUGGAUUAUUAAAGAG
rnacentral:lncRNA from 1 species